rnacentral:rRNA from 1 species
CCUACGGGAGGCAGCAGUGGGGAAUCUUGCGCAAUGGGCGAAAGCCUGACGCAGCAACGCCGCGUGCGGGAAGACGGCCUUAGGGUUGUAAACCGCUUUCAGGGGGGACGAAGCUUCCGAGGUUAAUAGCCUACGGGGUGACGGUACCCCCAGAAGAAGCCCCGGCUAACUACGUGCCAGCAGCCGCGGUAAUACGUAGGGGGCGAGCGUUGUCCGGAAUCAUUGGGCGUAAAGCGCGUGUAGGCGGCUUGGCAAGUCUGGUGUGAAAUCUUGGGGCUCAACCCCAAGCGUGCACUGGAAACUGCCUCGCUAGAGUCCGGGAGAGGAGAGCGGAACUCCCAGUGUAGCGGUGAAAUGCGCAGAUAUUGGGAAGAACACCGAUGGCGAAGGCAGCUCUCUGGAACGGUACUGACGCUGAGACGCGAAAGCGUGGGGAGCGAACAGGAUUAGAUACCCUGGUAGUCCACGCCGUAAACGAUGGGCACUAGAUGUGGGCGGUGUCGACUCCGUCCGUGUCGAAGCUAACGCAUUAAGUGCCCCGCCUGGGGAGUACGGCCGCAAGGCUAAAACUCAAAGGAAUUGACGG